rnacentral:rRNA from 1 species
GAUGAACGCUAGCGGCAGGCCUAACACAUGCAAGUCGAGGGAGAAGCCCUUUCGGGGGCAGCAACCGGCGCACGGGUGCGUAACGCGUAUGCAACCUACCUUUCACAGGGGGAUAGCCCGAAGAAAUUUGGAUUAAUACCCCAUAAUAUUAUUGGAUGGCAUCAUUUGAUAAUUAAAACUGCGGUGGUGAAAGAUGGGCAUGCGUCCUAUUAGCUAGUUGGAGUGGUAACGGCACCCCAAGGCUACGAUAGGUAGGGGUCCUGAGAGGGAGAUCCCCCCCCCGGGAACGGAGACAGGGGCCCGACUCCACGGGGAGGAAGCAGUGGGGAAGAUUGGGCAAGGGACGGAAGACUAAACCAGCCAGGCCGGGGGAAGAAAGAAGCCUUUGGGGUUUUGAAAUUCCUUUUGUAGGGAAAGAAAAAGGGGUACGUGUCGUUUGAGGAGGGAACCAAUAGAAAAAGAAUGGGCAAACCCCGG